rnacentral:rRNA from 1 species
GAGGACCGCUGGCGGCGCGCCUAACACAUGCAAGUCGAACGAGAGAUGAGGAGCUUGCUCUUCAAAUCGAGUGGCGAACGGGUGAGUAACGCGUGAGGAACCUGCCUCAAAGAGGGGGACAACAGUUGGAAACGACUGCUAAUACCGCAUAAGCCCACGGCUCGGCAUCGAGCAGAGGGAAAAGGAGCAAUCCGCUUUGAGAUGGCCUCGCGUCCGAUUAGCUAGUCGGUGAGGUAAUGGCCCACCAAGGCGACGAUCGGUAGCCGGACUGAGAGGUUGAACGGCCACAUUGGGACUGAGACACGGCCCAGACUCCUACGGGAGGCAGCAGUGGGGAAUAUUGCACAAUGGGGGAAACCCUGAUGCAGCGACGCCGCGUGGAGGAAGAAGGUCUUCGGAUUGUAAACUCCUGUUGUUGAGGAAGAUAAUGACGGUACUCAACAAGGAAGUGACGGCUAACUACGUGCCAGCAGCCGCGGUAAAACGUAGGUCACAAGCGUUGUCCGGAAUUACUGGGUGUAAAGGGAGCGCAGGCGGGAGAACAAGUUGGAAGUGAAAUCCAUGGGCUCAACCCAUGAACUGCUUUCAAAACUGUCUUUCUUGAGUAGUGCAGAGGUAGGCGGAAUUCCCGGUGUAGCGGUGGAAUGCGUAGAUAUCGGGAGGAACACCAGUGGCCAAGGCGGCCUACUGGGCACCAACUGACGCUGAGGCUCGAAAGUGUGGGUAGCAAACA